UACGUAGGGUGCGAGCGUUGUCCGGAAUUAUUGGGCGUAAAGAGCUUGUAGGCGGUUCGUCGCGUCUGCUGUGAAAAAUCCGGGGGCUCAACCCCGGACUUGUCAGUGGGUACCGGGCAGGCUGGAGUGCAGUAGGGGAGACUGGAAUUCCUGGUGUAGCGGUGAAAUGCGCAGAUAUCAGGAGGAACACCGAUGGCGAAGGCAGGUCUCUGGGCUGUUACUGACGCUGAGGAGCGAAAGCAUGGGGAGCAAACAGGAUUAGAUA
rnacentral:rRNA from 1 species